AUUAAAAGACGUGCCGUAAAUAUAUUCAAAGGUUUACAUUGUGUCAGAGAAAUUCAUUCAUUUCCAGGUAAAGUAUACAACAAAAAAAAAAAGGAAAACCGUUAAUGCAGUUUCGCCUGCGAUCUGUUCCUGGAGUGUGGGGUCCAGGUCUGUCCGCUAGGGGGAGUGUUGCCUCGGAGAGGGAGGUUGGGUGGCUGGGUGCGUUCCCGCAGCAACAGGGACGAUGGCAGCUCUCACAUCCCUCACCCAGCUGUCAAGUGGGAACCCUGUAUUUGAGAACUUUUACAGACAGGUGGAUCCUGGGAACACAGGGAGAGUAGGACCGACAGAAGCUGCCUUGUUCUUAAAAAAGUCUGGACUCCCUGACAUUACAUUGGGAAAGAUCUGGGAUUUGGCCGAUCCUGAUGGCAAAGGCUAUCUGGACAAACAGGGCUUCUAUGUAGCUCUGCGGCUGGUGGCCUGUGCUCAGAGUGGUCAGGAAGUCAGUCUGUCCAGCCUCAACCUCACAGUCCCUCCCCCCAAGUUUAAGGACACCAGCAGUCCGUCUCUAAGCAGCACAGCUUCUACUUCCAGCGAACUCCACUGGGCUGUCAGGCCUGAAGAGAAGAGUAAAUUUGAUGGAAUUUUUGAAAGUUUGGCACCAGUCAAUGGCCUGCUGUCAGGAGAGAAGGUCAAACCAGUCCUAAUCAACUCCAAGCUACCUCUGGAUGUCCUUGGGAAGGUUUGGGACCUAAGUGACAUAGAUAAAGAUGGCCAUCUGGACAGAGAUGAGUUUGCAGUGGCCAUGCAUCUUGUGUACCGGGCCCUGGAGAAGGAGCCAGUUCCUGCUCUCCUGCCCUCUGCCCUCAUCCCUCCAUCUAAGAGGAAGAAGAGUCUGGGCUCAGUGGUCGGCUCUGUGCCUGGACUGCCUGCAAGCCCUCCACCACCCAAAGAUUCAUUGCGCUCCACACCCUCCCACGGCAGCAUGAACUCACUCAACAGCACCGGCAGCCUGUCUCCCAAACACACACUCAAGUCUGGACAGCAUUCAAUGAACUGGGUGGUCCCCGUGUCAGACCGUGGUCGCUAUGAUGACAUCUUCCUGAAGACAGAUGCUGAUCUGGAUGGCUUUGUCAGCGGACAGGAAGUAAAGGAUAUCUUCAUGCAGUCUGGACUUUCUCAGAACAUCCUUGCCCAUAUAUGGGCUCUGGCAGACACCAGGCAGAUAGGUAAGCUGACACGGGAGCAGUUCGCCCUUGCCAUGCAUCUCAUCCAGCAGAAAGUCAGCAAGGGCAUUGACCCCCCACAGGCCCUGACCGCUGACAUGAUCCCCCCUUCUGAGAGAGGCACUCCUGUACCAAGCAUGUCAGGAUACAUGACCCCAGUGGGAUCAGAGAUGGCUGCUCUGUCUGAGAUGAGACGAGACAGCUCUAGUUCAGUAGGUUCAGGGGAGUUUACUGGCAUCAAGGAGCUGGAUGACAUCAGCCAGGAGAUAGCCCAGUUGCAGAGGGAGAAGUACACUUUGGAGCAGGACAUCAGGGAGACAGAGGAGGCCAUCAGACAUAAAAAUGCAGAGGUGCAGGAGAUGCAGAAUGACCUGGACAGAGAGACAGCCAGCCUGCAGGAACUAGAAGCUCAGAAACAAGAUGCCCAGGACCGCCUGGAGGAGAUGGACCAGCAGAAACAUAAACUAGAGGACAUGCUGAACGAAGUCCGGAUAAAGUGCCAGGAAGAGUCUCAGAUGAUCUCAACCCUCCAGAGUCAGAUCCACUCCCAGGAGUCAGACCUACAGUGCCAGGAGGAGGAGCUGAGCCGGGCGAAGGCCGACCUGGGCCGGCUGCAGCAGGAGGAGAACCAGCUGGAGCAGAGCCUGGCUGCCGGCAAGAUCCAACUGGAGACCAUCAUCAAGUCUCUGAAGGCCACGCAGGAUGAGAUCAACCAGGCUCGCAGUAAGUUGUCCCAGAUUCAGGACAGCCAACAGGAAGUAUCUAAAAGUAUUGAGCAGUACAACAGCACCUUGAACGGAACCCAUGGAGGCAGUAUGACAAACCUGGCCGACAUGAGCGAGGGCUUCAGCGACAGAGAGAACGGAGGAUUCCCAGCCAUGGAGGACCCAUUCAAAGUGAAGCCAUCUGUGUUCAACAGCCAGCCUCAGGAGCUUCACACUGACCCCUUCCACUCUGAAGACCCCUUCAAAACAGACCCUUUCAAAGGUGACCCUUUCCAAAAUGACCCUUUUGCAAAGCAGCCAUCAGCAUCCACAGAUCCUUUUGGAGGAGACCCAUUCAAAGAGACAGAUCCGUUCAAGGCUUCAUCAGAGGAUUUUUUCAAGAAGACCACAAAGAUGGAUCCCUUCUCCACACCAGACCCCUUCAGUAAAAGUGCCACAUUACCUUCCAAGCAAACCAGUCACUUCACAAGUAAUGACCCUUUCUCUUCAAGCAACCCAAAACCCAAAGGACCAGACCUGUUUGGCACGUUGGAUCCAUUUGGCAGCAGUUCAUUUAGCAGCAGCAGUAACAGCUCCGCUGGAUUUGCAGACUUCAGCCACAUGUCGAAGCCCAGAGACCCUUUUGAAGGCCGGGCCAGCUGGCUGCCAGACUAUCAGAAGUCGGUGUUUGUGGACGAUCCAUUCAGCAGGAAGAAUGACACACCAGCUCUGCCACCAAAAAAAAGUGUUCCCCCAAGACCCAAACCACCCAGUGGUAAGAGUACGCCAGUGAGCAUGUCUUGCACGGCUGACCCUUCCAAACCAUGUGACCCCUUCCAGCCGUUUGGUGGUGACGCCAUCGACCCGUUUCAGAGUAAAAAGGGCCUGGGAGACCCAUUCAGUGGCAAAGACCCUUUCGCUCCAUCAGCAUCAAGUAAAGCCCCUAAAGACUCUACCUCAGGUUUUGCAGACUUCAGUUCUGUAAGUUGAGAUGGGUGAUACUGUUUAACUUUCCGUGUCUAGACCAAGCGAAAAAAAGCGACACUCUUUACAGACACCAGCACAGUCACUAGUUUAAGUUCUAGUUAUUUUGAGUACAUUACAAGGUCACUACUAAAGACUGAUGAGGCAUAGAAUUUAUCUGAGAUCUAAAAAAAGUAGUUGAGACAUCUCAGUUGUUACUAUGUGUGAAAACAAGGAAAGACCUCACAUGUUUUUGGGGUUGAUUUUACAACAGUGAUACUAUUAUUGUUAUUAACAUGUGAUCUGUAUCUGGAUUGGUAAAAAAAGGCAUGUUUGUUGCUUUUUGACAAGUAUGACUGCUCUGCCUACUUCAUUGGCAUAUUGAGAAUGCUUAUUAAUAUUAGGCCUGUGAUCAGGUGUCGUUAUCUAGAUAAUGUAUUCAGAUACAGAUUGCAUGUUAAUAGCAGGUGGAAACGGGGCGGUUGUGGCUGGCUGAUGAACGAGGUAGUGCUUUAACAGCAGCACAUGAUGUAAAAGUCCACACCAAGUCCAUAGAUGUUGUCCAGACAACCCAUAAAAAUCUCUACACAGAGGCAGCAUAGGUUAUGUCUUCUGUCCUAUUAGGGCUGGGAAAAUAAUGUAGCUUUUUGAAAUCAUAUUGUGGCAGAUAAUAUCAGUGUACAUCAUUCUGUUGCCUAAAUUAAUGAUUACAAUCCAAUUUUGAUAAGCCACUAAAAAAAUGACCUCAUGAGUUUUUUGUACUACAUAAGUGUUUUGUAAUACAAAACAGUGGAACACAGUUCAUUGCAUUGAGUAUCAAUUUGAUAUCUAUUUGAUAUCAUUUUAUAGCAACACUAGAAAAACAUUCUUAUUAAUAUUGUGAUAUCCUAUCACCCAGUCUAUGGCAGUAAGAUGUUCCCAAAUUUAUGACAAAACACUAGUAAUUAACGUCAGAAAAAAGCUCUAUUAGAAUAGAGUAAGAUAACAAGGCCUGUGUGCAGUCAUCUAUGGUAGGAUAGCACACAGCUAAUGUAGCCUGUCCACUUUCUGCUUCAGAUUCUCUGUUGCAGCUCAUUCUAACCAUCUCUGUUCUCCAUGUUAACAGGCUUCUCUGUUUGUUAAUAACACUCAGAAAUGCUCCAUCACAGUUCAAAAAUACAACCAACCAACACUUCCAAUGCUCACCUAUUAAUGUGCUGUAUCUAGUUUGUUUAGAAUAGAAUAAAAUAUACUGUCAUGUCCCUGUAGAGACAUUUGCUUGGGCUCUGGUCACAGCUAUGCAGUGCCACCAGAAGCAGAGGAGCAAAGAGCUUUAAAUGAUCUGUACACAAACUUUAAUUUCAACUCACAGUUUGUGCUUUCAGGGAGAGUUAUCUACUAGAACCACCGUAUAUCUUGACAAACAGUAGCCGGGCAACUGUGUGCAGUUUCCUGGAGUCUUGUUAUCACAGUGAGGUUGAGAUCAAAACCAGAAGCUGUGCUCACUGACUGUAUCUGGUAACCUGCAAUGUUGCUGGAGAUGCUCCCAUUGUUGUGAGAACAAUGACAGUUUAUAUCUUAAGUUCAGCCUAAAGAAGUGAAGGGUAUUUACAGGACAACCAUUUAUGUAGUUGUUAUGUUAUUUAUUCAAUCAUCUUAUGAGCCCAUUUUUAAUGAGAAGUAAAUCCGACUUCAGCUAACCCCCAGAACUGCUGUGACACAACAUUUGAACCCACUUUAGAACUUGCAACGUGGUAUUAAAGUUGUGUAGGCUGCAGAGAAGAGGAUAGUUUCAUUAUUACUGCAUUCUCCUUAUAGGUCAGGAAAGGGUAUCGGCCCUUUUUGUGGUUUGUUUGUUUUGGCAAGAAGAUUAUAAUGAGAUUGUCAGAGUUUCCCUGUACUUUCACAGAGGCUGAGGGCUAAUACCAGCAGUAGGUUGGCAUGAUGCUCAAAGUCAAGACUAGCUGUGAGCGCACAAGUGAAAACGAACACAAGCCUGUUGUAACCCUUAAGCAAAUAACCAUGGGGACUCACACUAAUUCUUCACAUAAUGACAAAACACUGUGCAUUUCACAUUCAGGCAUGCAGAGAAGCACUUUUAAGGUAGAUAAGCGCUACUUUGUUAGCCGAGAAUAAUGCUACCAGCUAAUUGGCCGACUGGUGCUUGUCAGUUCAAAUUCUAGUUAGGUACCCACCUGAAAGAUGUCAGUGUUGAAAGGUUCUAUUAUGAGACAUAGCAGUAUCACUACUCAACUCACAGCUGUUGAGUCUGUCUGCCCUGCGUGUCCUUGCUCUGUGUGUGUGUGUGUGUGUGUGCGCGUGUGUGCUACUCUGUUCACCAUUUACUUUGUUGUCAGUAGUUGGUUAGUGCAUUCUAUCUGUUCUUUCUUGCUGUGCUUGUCUUUAUCUUACAGUGUUAGUUUUGCUUUUUCUCACCUCUCUCAAGCAUUCCUCCACUUGUCUUUAUUCCAUAACCUGACACCCUCUCUAAGGAUUCUGCUUCACCAUCUGGGGUCCUGUUGACAAAGUAUCUCAUCUUACCAUUCCAAGUCCUCCAGGAUGGUGCUACAUGUUCCUAGCUAAGAGUUUCCUCUUCAGAUGGAGAUAGAGAUAGAGAUAAAUCUUUGAUGAAGUAAUUCUACAUAUGGCACCGUUUUUAAGUCUGACUGGAUCCUUGUUAACUCACCUACCAUCAAAAUAUGCUUUUAAAAGUUCAUUAUCGUAUUUUUCAAAGACACUGAUAUGAUGAGGGGCAUUACCUGCAGCAGCACACUGAUUGUGAGUAGAGCUGCAAAGACGAUUGCCAAGGAUAGAAAGUAAAGAUGCAGCUACAUUUUUAAGCAAACGUGUUUUAUCUGGUUUUUCUUUGUUAUACAUGACAGUAAACUGAAUAUCUUUGGUUUUUAGACUGUUGGUUGGACAAAAUAAAGACACUUUGACACUGGAAAAUUAUAACAGGCACAAUCCACACAUUUAUCAAUAAUGAAAAUAAUCAUUAGUUGCUGCCCUAAUUGUGCCCCUGUGGCUCAGGAGUUCUAAGGACUACUCCCAGCUUUUGUCAGACUUUGUUGAGCCGGUUUUCGAAAUGCUUUGUGAAUUACUCUUAGACCAUUUACUCUCAUUCUGCGUGUCACAUCAUCAUCAUGUCACAUGUAGAAGCCCAUGUUUAGCUGCAUUUUCCUUUAGUUCUAACUGUUGCUUGUUUCCAUUUGAAGGGAUUCACUGACAGAAAUGUUGUACCACAGUUCAUUUGUUUUACCUAUGGCACUUACUGGCAACAAGUGUCUAUAUGAACUUGAAUAGCUUAUUAGCAUUGUGAGAAUUCCUGAUUAACACCAAUUAACACUACUAGUAGUGUUGAAGCCAGUUGAAUCACUUGAAUCUCAAUUUUAAAAAAAUGCUAACAAGUAGCUAAAGACAAUUAGUAGAGACAGGCUUCCACAAUGGACUGAACAGAAACUCUGCAGGUAUCCCUUUAAAAUGUCUGUGUGCUGUGAUGUGAUGUCCUGUAAACUAGCCUAGAUCCACUGAGAUAAGGGAUUUCUGCUUUAUAACUUGUCUGUUCUGUAAUCCACUUCUCUGACAGGACCUGACAAAGUCAAGUUUGGGAAUGAGGCUCAGCAAUUGGAGUGGGCUAAGCGAGAGAGUGAACGAGCAGAGCGUGAGCGGCUGAAGAGGCUCAGAC